GUUGCCUCUAGAGGCAUUGCAUGAGUGGUUACUGUGUCUCUUGUGCAUCAGUAGGUGGCAGAGAAGACAGAGGCUAUGUCUAAGCUCAGUAUUCUGACCUGUGAACAAAUGUAUAAUUAGCAUUAACGC